UGAAUCAAGUUAGCAUGUCUUAUAUACCUGAAUUGAUAUACUGAAUUGAUGUUUAACUGUUAACAUUUACUGUAUUGAUGUUUAAAUUCGUAGUGGUAGUUACGCCACAAGCUCUAGUGCUAUGUAAAUAAAGUACCUACAUACCUACGCCACCUAUAGCUACUACGUCUCCACAAAGCUUUGAAAGUUAAAAGCUUGUUUUAAAUGGCACAGACAUAUGCAGCAGCAAGCAACUUAGCAAAACAAAAAAUUUGAUCUCUUUCUGAUUUAAGAUUCUAGUUAUUAUUUAGUCUUUCUGAAAUAAAUAUAGGACAUUAACUUUUCUAAUAAAUAUAAAUCCGAAUUAGGAUGAGUGUUCCUACUUUUAAUGAUGCAACUGAUGAGGAGCAGUAUCAAGAUCUUCGUAGCUAUUUGAAUAGUCUUGGAGGCCAUAUUUGAUAGGAGAAUUCAGAUGAAGGAUUUCUGACUGAUUUAGAAGAUGUGAUUGGCUGUUGUGAAUUAUGACUUCAUGAAGCUG